rnacentral:rRNA from 1 species
UAGCUAGUUGGUGAGGUAAAGGCUUACCAAGGCGACGAUCUGUAGCGGGUCUGAGAGGAUGAUCCGCCACACUGGAACUGAGACACGGUCCAGACUCCUACGGGAGGCAGCAGUGGGGAAUUUUGGACAAUGGGGGCAACCCUGAUCCAGCCAUGCCGCGUGAGUGAAGAAGGCCUUCGGGUUGUAAAGCUCUUUCGGCCGGGAAGAAAUCGCAUGGGCCAAUACCCUGUGUGGAUGACGGUACCGGAAUAAGAAGCACCGGCUAACUACGUGCCAGCAGCCGCGGUAAUACGUAGGGUGCGAGCGUUAAUCGGAAUUACUGGGCGUAAAGCGUGCGCAGGCGGUUUUGUAAGACAGGCGUGAAAUCCCCGGGCUUAACCUGGGAACUGCGUUUGUGACUGCAAGGCUAGAGUACGGCAGAGGGGGGUGGAAUUCCACGUGUAGCAGUGAAAUGCGUAGAGAUGUGGAGGAACACCAAUGGCGAAGGCAGCCCCCUGGGUCGAUACUGACGCUCAUGCACGAAAGCGUGGGUAGCAAACAGGAUUAGAUACCCUGGUAGUCCACGCCCUAAACUAUGUCAACUAGGUGUUGGGUGGGUAAAACCAUUUAGUACCGUAGCUAACGCGUGAAGUUGACCGCCUGGGGAGUACGGCCGCAAGGUUAAAACUCAAAGGAAUUGACGGGGACCCGCACAAGCGGUGGAUGAUGUGGAUUAAUUCGAUGCAACGCGAAAAACCUUACCUACCCUUGACAUGCCAGGAACUUGCCAGAGAUGGCUUGGUGCCCGAAAGGGAGCCUGGACACAGGUGCUGCAUGGCUGUCGUCAGCUCGUGUCGUGAGAUGUUGGGUUAAGUCCCGCAACGAGCGCAACCCUUGUCGUUAAUUGCCAUCAUUUGGUUGGGCACUUUAACGAGACUGCCGGUGACAAACCGGAGGAAGGUGGGGAUGACGUCAAGUCCUCAUGGCCCUUAUGGGUAGGGCUUCACACGUCAUACAAUGGUCGGUACUAAGGGUUGCCAAGCCGCGAGGCGGAGCCAAUCCCAGAAAGCCGAUCGUAGUCCGGAUUGCAGGCUGCAACUCGCCUGCAUGAAGUCGGAAUCGCUAGUAAUCGUGGAUCAGCAUGUCACGGUGAAUACGUUCCCGGGUCUUGUACACACCGCCCGUCACACCAUGGGAGCGGGUUCCGCCAGAAGUAGGUAGCCUAACCGCAAGGGGGGCGCUUACCACGGCGGGGUUCGUGACUGGGGUGAAGUCGUAACAAGGUAGCCGUAGGGGAACCUGCGGCUG